rnacentral:rRNA from 1 species
GUUGCAGUUAAAAAGCUCGUAGUUGGAUUUCUGCGGGGGCGGGGCGGCCGGAUGCUUAUAGCAUCUCGAGCUAGCACUUCCCCUGCAUCCUGCCGCGAACCGUGCUACCAUUAGUUUGGUGGCGCUGGGGAUCGGCUCGUUUACUUUGAGAAAAAUAGAGUGUUCAAAGCAGGCCACACGCCUUGAAUAAGUUAGCAUGGAAUAAUGAUAAAGGACUUCGGUUCUAUUUUGUUGGUGUUCGGGACUGAAGUAAUGAUUGAUAGGGACAGUUGGGGCGGUCAGUAUUCCAAAGCGAGAGGUGAAAUUCUUAGACCUUCGGAAGACUAACAGCUGCGAAAGCGUUCCGCAAGGAUGUUCCCUUUGAUCAAGAACGAAAGUUGGGGGAUCGAAGACGAUCAGAUACCGUCGUAGUCUCAACUAUAAACUAUACCAGCUAGGGAUCGGC